GCAAACGUGGGGUAGUGGUAACCUGGGUCGUUGCCAUUCCCUUGUCGACCCGCCCCGAGUUCGAUUCUCGGCGUUUGCA